rnacentral:rRNA from 1 species
GACGUAGGGCGCGAGCGUUGUCCGGAUUUAUUGGGCGUAAAGAGCUCGUAGGCGGCUUGUCGCGUCGUCCGUGAAAACUUGGGGCUCAACCCCAAGCUUGCGGUCGAUACGGGCAGGCUAGAGUUCGGUAGGGGAGACUGGAAUUCCUGGUGUAGCGGUGAAAUGCGCAGAUAUCAGGAGGAACACCGGUGGCGAAGGCGGGUCUCUGGGCCGGUAUUGACGCUGAUGCGCGAAAGCCAGGGGAGCAAACGGG